rnacentral:tRNA from 1 species
GUUUGUGAGCUCAGUGGUAGAGCUCUUGCCUAGCAUGCACGAGGCCCUGAGUUCGAUCCCCAGCACUACA